rnacentral:lncRNA from 1 species
UAUUAAAAUUACAAAAGGUUGCAGCAUAUGUUGUGUAAAUGGUGAACUCAUACAGCUGUCAACUCUUGUCAUUUUAAUCCGUUUCACAUUUGCUAGCUACCUUUUAGAUCGAAGCCCAAAUAGAAUGAUAGAAGAUAAGAUGAUAGAAGCCCAUCUCCUACUGUAAAUAACCUACACACUGUGUGUGUGUGUGUAGCCAGCCAGCCAGGUAGGAAAAUGGCAGAAAAAUAAAAGACGGACAUCAGAGUAUUUUUCAAUACACCAAAACGCAAAGCAGAGCAGGCAACAGAUGGCACACAGACAGCAGAGUUGGGGACAGAUAUGCAGGGACAGACUGGCAGAGACAGUGAGUCUCAGAUGGUCGCAUGCGGUUGGACACAUGGAGGAGAGAAUCAUUUUCGCAGUAUCCUCAAAACCGUGUCUUUUUGACACAACUGCUGACAGCUACAGGGACAUAAACACAAAAAAUCCUGCUUGGAGACAAGUGUCCACGAUAGUAGGAUUGCCAGGUCAGUUUAGUAGUGGGCAUGUGCCAGAUGUGGCUAGUUAACGUGACCCACAACAAUGGGUCCUGGAGAAGACUAGCCUACCUUCAUCAGAGCAGAAGGCACCCCAAUGUUCUUUCCAUUUGGUAACAUUGCAUAAUUAAAAAAGGAUUCUAAACCAACUUUGGGAAAAGUUAUAGUCCUAAUGAACAUUCUGUAAAAGUACAUCUGAUGUCAAAUAGGGACUAUUAACUAGAGAGCCCUUUAGCUAGCUAGGUUGCACAUAAAAACAAUGUAUCAAAUAUAAAUCAAUUAUGGUAUCAAAGGCUUUAAAAAUGUACUAGAAUGUAGCUUACCGUAGACAAAUCACCAGGCGUUCAACUGGGCUGAUGGACUCCCGGUAGUUGGUAUCCAUCCGGAUGAUCCUGGCUCCAACCAUCUGAAGCAGGUGAUCGAACUGGCUUCGGUCCAGACGAAAGUAACUUCGGAAUUCCUCUCCAAGCAGUCGAAGCUCUUGAAUGAGACGGUGGAACUCCUCUGCCUGCUUUCGGGACUUUAACCAUCUCUGGACCCAUACAGACCUGCGCUUUCGGCGGGGCUGAUCCCGGCCCAACAGCGCGAUCAAGACCACCUUCCUCAACGUUGGUCUCAUUGUUGAAAGAGCCGACUCUGCUAUCUUGACUAUUAUGCAUUUUGCUCCAAAGCUGCAUUUUGGAGGGAAAUUAUAUUAUAGGCUCUCACAAUUAAUUUGUGGAUGUCAUCGAAUAAAUAAUAUACUUGGCAAAUAAAUGAAUAAAAAAAUGUAAAGAAA